AAACCCUGAAAGACAGAGAGAGAAUCUGAAGAAAACCUGUCGGGGUUUCUCUGACAGUAAAACGGUUUGUCCGACCUCAAGUCUGAAUCAGAGGACGAGUUUCUGACAACUGAGUGAUAGACGGAAAGAACAGGAAAUAGAGGAAACUCGCCCGACUCCGCCAGUGAAGCCAGAGAAGUGCGUCUGGAUGAAGCUCCGGACGCCAAACUAGCAGGCCUGCUGCCGGGCAGCCUGUUGAUCCAGUGAUCACACAGGGAGGAGCUUGUCGAACCUGAGUGGACGUGACAGGUGGAUCCAGACAAAAAGCCCCGUCAGUCCUGAUCUACAAGCCAAAACAACAACACUUCCUCUCUGAAAGUCUCGCGGUUUGUUACUGACCAGCGACUGAACUGUUGGCAGACCAGGAGGGAAUGGCACUUCUCCUCUGAUAAAACAGGAUGUAGGCGCCCUGCUGACACACUUCCUCGUCGGCGAUGGGAGAAACUUCACUGUCAUCGAAGCAGUACCACUGUCCGUCGAUGGAAUUUUUACAGUAAGCUGUGAACACAAAAAGCAAUAAAAAAAAUGGCUCAAAUGAUCAAAGCGACCAUAGGAGUGCCGCGGCGCUCACCGGUGUAGUGGCCUCCGUGCAUGUUGCCAUGAUGGUUGCACACAGCAUACAGGUCGUACAGGUAGUCGUCGGGGUUCCUUCCCAGGCCGUAAGACCGUCUCCAUGGAGACCAGUGGGAGGGCAAACUCCAGCUGCUUUGGCUUCUCUUGACCACAUGCGGCGCCAUGUCCAUCUCCAUCAGCGGGAAUCGGACCAUGUUCUGCAUCUUUACCCUCCGGUCCCCCUCCUGCAGCAGAGACAGAAGAUUAACUGCAACAUUAGAAUCAUUUACCUGCAUAUGUUUUAUUCAUAUAGUUUAAUCAUCUAACAGGAAAAGGUCAGAAAAUGUAACCAAAAAACAAAAGAAUGUCUUUGAUAUUUGACACGGAUCGCCACCGAAUUCUGAUUUUAAUUCAAAUUUAUUUAAAGGGCAAUUUUAUUGU